UACGUAGGGUGCAGGCGUUAAUCGGAAUUACUGGGCGUAAAGCGUACGUAGGCGGCUUUGUAAGUUAGAGGUGAAAGCCCGGGGCUCAACUCCGGAAUUGCCUUUAAGACUGCAUCGCUUGAAUCAUGGAGAGGUGAGUGGAAUUCCGAGUGUAGAGGUGAAAUUCGUAGAUAUUCGGAAGAACACCAGUGGCGAAGGCGACUCACUGGACAUGUAUUGACGCUGAGGUACGAAAGCGUGGGGAGCAAACAGG
rnacentral:rRNA from 1 species